GACAGAGGAUGCAAGCGUUAUCCGGAAUGAUUGGGCGUAAAGCGUCUGUAGGUGGCUUUUUAAGUCCGCCGUCAAAUCCCAGGGCUCAACCCUGGACAGGCGGUGGAAACUACCAAGCUGGAGUACGGUAGGGGCAGAGGGAAUUUCCGGUGUAGCGGUGAAAUGCGUAGAUAUCGGAAGGAACACCAGUGGCGAAAGCGGCUUCCUCGGUCCAGCACCGACGUUCAGGCACGAAAGCGU
rnacentral:rRNA from 1 species